rnacentral:rRNA from 1 species
CAGCAGCCGCGGGAAUACAGAGGGUGCGAGCGUUAAUCGGAUUUACUGGGCGUAAAGCGUGCGUAGGCGGCUUCUUAAGUCGGAUGUGAAAUCCCUGAGCUUAACUUAGGAAUUGCAUUCGAUACUGGGAAGCUAGAGUAUGGGAGAGGAUGGUAGAAUUCCAGGUGUAGCGGUGAAAUGCGUAGAGAUCUGGAGGAAUACCGAUGGCGAAGGCAGCCAUCUGGCCUAAUACUGACGCUGAGGUACGAAAGCAUGGGGAGCAAACAGGAUUAGAUACCCCUGUAGUCCCUGUCUCUUUACC